GGGCGAAAGCCUGAAGCAGCAACGCCGCGUGCGCGAUGAAGGCCCUCGGGUCGUAAAGCGCUUUUCUGGGAGAUGAGAAAGGACAGUAUCUCAGGAAUAAGUCUCGGCUAACUACGUGCCAGCAGCCGCGGUAAAACGUAGGAGGCAAGCGUUAUCCGGAUUCACUGGGCGUAAAGCGCGUGCAGGCGGUUUGGUAAGUUGGAUAUGAAAGCUCCUGGCUUAACUAGGAGAGGCUAUUCAAUACUAUCAGACUUGAGGACGGUAGAGGAAGAUGGAAUUCCCGGUGUAGUGGUGAAAUGCGUAGAUAUCGGGAGGAACACCAGUGGCGAAAGCGAUCUUCUGGACCGUUUCUGACGCUCAGACGCGAAAGCUAGGGUAGUAAACGGGAUUAGAGACCCCGGUAAUCCUAGCCGUAAACGAUGUAAACUUGGCGUUGGUGGCUUAAACACCAUCAGUGCCGCAGCUAACGCGAUAAGUUUACCGCCUGGGGACUACGAUCGCAAGAUUA
rnacentral:rRNA from 1 species